rnacentral:rRNA from 1 species
GAUGAACGCUGGCGGCGUGCCUAAUACAUGCAAGUCGAGCGACCAGACAAGAAGCUUCCUCCCCUACCGUUAGCGGCGGACGGGUGGGUAACACGUGGAUAACCACCCUAUAAACCUGGGAUAACUUCGGGAAACCGGUGCUAAUACCGAAUAAUAUAUUAAACCGCUUGGUUCAAUAGUUAAAAACGGUUUUGCGUUCACUUUUAGAUGGAUCCGCGCCGCAUUAGCUAGUUGGUAAGGUAACGGCUUACCAAGGCAACGAUGCGUAGCCGACCUGAGAGGGUGAUCGGCCACACUGGAACUGAGACACGGUCCAGACUCCUACGGGAGGCAGCAGUAGGGAAUCUUCCGCAAUGGGCGAAAGCUUGACGGAGCAACGCCGCGUGAGUGAUGAAGGUCUUCGGAUCGUAAAACUCUGUUAUUAGGGAAGAACAAAUGUGUAAGUAACUAUGCACGUCUUGACGGUACCUAAUCAGAAAGCCACGGCUAACUACGUG